rnacentral:lncRNA from 1 species
AUAUCCCUCGUUCAUUUGCUCUUAGGCAAAUCACAUUGUAGGAUUACAAUGAACUACCUAACAAAACAACAUUUGUUAGUUGGUUUAUAGAAGCGAUAUCCAAAAGUUAAUUUAAGGAUAUCCCACAAGAUUAUUAUCAAACAAAUAUUGCUUAUAAGCUCACAACCCCAAAUCUUAACAUGCUUAAGAUUUGUCUUUCUUUCCAACUACAUCUUAUGGAGUCAUGAAAAUCUUGGAAGAUCUUCUAAUUGACAAUCAUAUUGUUUUUAGAAGUAUAUAUCCUAUAUAUGGGUAAU